AAUAAGCAAAAAGUAAAAUCACUUUACUCAUGUUUACAUGUUAAAUUGCACUUGUCUCUCUCUAUCUCUGUUAACACAUUUAUAUUUGUUUGAUUAAUUCUUGUGUCUUUCAGCCUGUUUCUGCCUAUCACCAUGAGUGAUUCCUCAAUACUCAGAUUUAUCAUCAAGAUCUCAAUUAUAAGCUCAAGUUUUGAUGACAACUUGGUGAUCUGCAGAAAGCACCACCAUGUAAGGAAGGCCAAGACCACUCUGGAAUCAGUCAAGGGUGAAAUGGAGUGAGGCAUACCAGGAUAUGCCUGGUUUUACUUUUGGGAAGGAGGUUGAACAGUGCAAUAUUUCUUCUAUAGGAUUGCAGUGACCAGACAUGCUACUGUAACUCUCAUGGUCAUGUGCUGGAAUUAGCAGAUAUUCAACAAUUUGGCCAUCUCGCUGACCUGUUGAUAUCAGAAGACCGCAGCAGCUCUGCAAAGCAAGUUGCAAAACAGAAUCCAUGAAACUGGCAGUGACUGGAAACCAAUUGGAAGACUUUGGUCUGUGAUGUAGAGGAGUGGGCAGAGGUAGCAGAAGCAAAGACAACAAAAAGAAGAAGUGAUAUGGAUGUCUUCGUCAUAUGGCAUGACUCUGCUGACCCAGCAACAAAGAGGAGGGUGUUCAACAUCAUCCUGCUAGUCAGGAUUCUUCAGGAGAAGCAGUGGAUUCUUGUGGCAGAGAUGGUCAACCACUAUAAAUACCUUUCAACUCAUCCUGGUUCUUUCAAAGAACUUUCUUGCUUGUUUGCUACUGAAAUAUUCGACAUGUGGCCUUAACGAAGAGGGGUUAAAAGGUCUAUGGAUCAUCAUUCUCAAAAAGCAACAAAAUAACUGAGAAAUAAACAACAAUACGAUGGUGCAAUCUAGAGACCUGCAAGGUACCUGCAAGUUUUGGCUGGAGCAGAGAACAUAGAUUUUUUUUAAAUAAAGCUCCAGCUGAUGAGUAUGACAUUGACUGUGGAUUUUCUUUUACUGUAAUCCAGAAGAGGAUGACCUUAACCCUGAAUCUAAAGCAUGUAAUAAAAUCUGUAAAAAAUUAAAUAAAAUUGUCAUCAUCUAUAACCAAA
rnacentral:lncRNA from 1 species